GAGGAGACCCCCAAGUGAGGACACCGGCUUCUGACCAGUGAAUGAGCCACUUACCUCUCUUCCUAGGCUUUAACUCUAGAUGUUGGAAAUAUAGUAACUAUGACGUUUCUGUUCCUUCAUAAGGACUUUAAGGCUAGGCUAAAUUUAUGGGCUAGAGUCCAUCUAGUCAAUGCCAUCAUCUUGCAGAUAAGGAAACCAAAGUGAACACGAGGUCAAAUUGGAGGUGGGGUCUAGUCUCCUGGCUCCUCCCCAAAUGCUUUUCCUUCUUCCCUUGGUCCUUUUUACUUGUCUCACCUCAUAUAUUCUCUCUUUCAUCCUAUCUCAGGACUGGGAUCUUUUUUCUGAUACUUCAUCUUCUGAAGAGAUAGCAUUCUCCAUGUAUUUAUUGAUUUCAGCAGCAUCAGAGCAAGCUUUGAAUGCCAGGGCACUUAAGGACAUUACAAAUGGUUGGUCAGGUCUCAUCUAGUGAUCUGGAGGGGAGCACACAUGGAACAGAAAGUCAGACCCACAGGGCUAUUGAGACAUCCAAACUGCCAAAGUCAGAUCAUGGUGCUCUAAGCCAUGAAGUAGGGCUGAUUUGACAAGACUUCUCUCCAGAAAUUCCCCCUCCCAACCAUACUUUGUGCUUGCAAUUCAAGUGUCUGGCACCAGAUGGCAGUGUUGUUCUGUUAUGAAUUUUAUUAACCUUGCUAUUUAUUUAUUAACCUUGCUAUUCUGAGAAACGUUUUAAAUUUCUUUCAUUCAUUCAUUCAUUCACUCAUUUGACAAAUAUUUACUGAGUGCUUACAAUAUGCUAAGUACUUUCUAGGUACUGGGAUACAGCAGUGAACUAAACACAAAAAGCUGCGACCUCUUAGCGCUUAUAUUCCUUUAUAGGGAGAGGAUGAAUAAGUGAGAAAAGUAUUGUUAUAGGUGUUAUGAAGAAAGACAAAGUAGAGAAGGGGAAAGGAGGGCUUGGAUGGGGGGACAUUGUGAAGUUAAAGGAGAGGUCAGAGAUGAUGGAGCAUGGAAACUGAUAGCUGGGAAAGGCUAUGGAGCCUUUAGGCAGUGGGGGGAGCACAGGAGCAGAAAAUGUUUGCAUAGGAAAAGGCGUUAGUGGGGGUUAUGUUAUAUUUGACAGAUGGGUAGAACUGAGGCUCAGAGAGGGACAGUGACCUUCCCAAGGUGAACAAUCUGGAGGGCAGAGGCUGGCAGCCUUGAGUUCCAGGCCCUGCUGGACCCUUCCCUGCCUCCCCCACCUCCUCUCAAAACCCAUCUUGGUCCUAUGAGGGCCUGCCCUCAAUCUGACAGAGACCAUGAACUCAUGAACUCACCAAACGCUGUUUGCUUUUCUUCCUGGGAACAUUUUCCAGCCUACCUUGCAGUUACCAAGUUCUGGUCAAUGGAUGUUGGGCAGGAGUGAUAUAUACCAAUUCCUACAGACUUCUUGCAUGACCUUCCAUGUGCACAUGGAAGCACAGGACUCCAGAGCCUUGGAGGAUGAGGAAGUCACUAAAAGGAGGGAGACUGGGUCCCUAGAUGACUCUAUGAAGCCAUGGCUGGAUGACGCUGUUUUAGACUGUGACAUGAGUGAGUCCCAUGUGGACAGCACCAGGGACAACCAUGGAUUAACAAUUAAGCCGUUGAGAUUUGGGGGUUGUUUGUUACCGCAGCUGGAUUACCUUAACAAUUGCACCCUCGUGACUGAACCUAACUGAAUAUAUGUCCACCAGCAUUAGCUCCCUACAUUGUCUACAGGGGGCACCUUGCUGUUUCUGUAUGCCUUUUUCUCUUUGCUUGGUCAUAGUUUCCAUUUUUAUUAGAGAAAUCAUCCCUCUUCUUGGUGAAGCUGUUUCUUUCUUUUUUUUUUUUCUUUUUCUUUUUCUGUUUUUAAGCUUUGAGAGACAGAGAGAGAUAGCAUGAGUGGGGGAGGGGCAGAGAGAGAGAGAGAGAUACAGAAUCCAAAGCAGGCUACAGGCUUUGAGCUAUCAAGACAGAGCCCGACUCGGGGCUCAAACUCACAAACUGUGAGAUCAUGACCUGAGCUGAAGUUGGACACUUAACCAACUGAGCCACCCAGGUGCCUCUUGGUGAAGCUCUUUCUGAUGGGGCCUCCCUACCACCAUCCAGAGGGCAACAUGUGACACAAGUGGCCAUUCCAAGUACAAAAUCCUCUUGGCUAAGUGAUUGGUUCAGGGGCAGAUACAUAAUAUGAUAAGAGUCUUGCUUGAGAUUUAGGCUAUGAAUGCUGGAAAGAGAGUCUCUCCUCCUCUAAGAUACUGAGUGAUGAGGACCAAGAGAGCCUGAUGCUGCUGGAGCCAUUGCCCAAGGGACACAAGAAAGAAGCCAAUGGAAGACUGAAACCAACACAGAGAGGAAAGUAGGCCAAAGAGUCAGAGAGAAAAUCUGACUCUACCACAUCAUUCCAAUCUUCCUGAAAUCCUGCCAAUCUUCGGUUUUCCUGGUUACAGGAGCCAAUUACCUUUUUUAAAAAAAAAAUUUGAUCCCGUUUGGAUUUCUGUCACUUAGCACUGAAAGAGUUCUGAUUAAUAAGUAAUUAUAGAACUAGGAUGUAUUGAGACUCACUGCUCAUGUUCUGAGCCACAGACAGGGAUCACAUGGCAAGCAAAUUAGACACCAUCCACUGGGACCUCCUGUUUCCAUGUACAGAUAUAUGUGGCAGGGCUUGAUGCCGAUGUGAAGUAGAAGAACCUGUUGGCAAGUAGGGUCUCAUUUUUCCUCAUUUUUAGGUUGCUGGCUUAUCAGGAUAAAAGAGGAAAUAGACACCUUUUCCUUUACCAUUCUGGAAAAGCUGGGUUUUGAGUUCUUGAGGUUUGAGCUUUCCUUAUCACUGUGAGGGAAGUUAACAGUCUUUGGUCUGUGUUUCCGGCCAAAUGGAGAAGCUGCCAGAAAGGGGUGGGCUGCCCUGAGAUUUGGAGGGCCUGUACCCAUCUGGUGGUUAAAGGGGGUGUCUGUCAGGAGGGCCAGGAGAAGAGCAUGGCCUUUAGGGAUCGCAGGAUGCUUUGGACCAAAGAGGAGAAGUGUUGGGAGAUUCUGGGGGACCAGAGGCAUGAACACCAGUGGUUGGCCCCCAUAGAAUUGCUGAGGUGGUGCAGCCCUGGACAGGGCAGGGACAGCUCUGUGCCUGUGAGAAUCCCAAGUGCCAAGGCUCAGUAACCUUGAGGAAGGUCUCCAGGCCAGAUAGAGGGACUAGAGGUUCUCCCUCAGCAUGCACCACGUGGGCAGCACCGAGGUCAACCGUGGAUUGACAAUUAAGACCCUACUAUCUAUUUUCAUGGGCGGGGCAAAUCCUAGGGUCCUUCUAUAACCUUCUUCACCAACUUUCUAUAAUCCUGACAAAUGCAGUUUUAGCUAGAUGUAAUUUAAUUUGGGAAAUUUUAAAAUGCAACGUGUCUUGAAUCCUAAAUUUUGUGGACUAAUUAGUAUCUGUAUAUAUUUAAUUACAAAGUGUUACAAGCCAUGAAGGGAAAUUACUGAGCUCCAUGGAUCCAUAUAAUAAGGAAUCUGAUCAAUUCAGUGGAGAUAAAUGAUAUUGUUUUUUUGCUCAUUGGGGAACUUGUUCUAGAAAACCUCUUUAGAUACAGUUUAGUCUUAGGCCAAAUGGAACUGGGACUCUCACAGUUACUGGAAUUUACUUUUUAUCAAGACAAAUAAUGAUCACUUAUUAUGUGCAAGAGCUUCAGGCUCUCUUGAUCCCCACUGCUCAAUAUUUUAGAGGAAGAGAGGCUUCAUAAACCAAAUCUUAAGCAAAAUUCUGAUUGGUAUCAUCAGCUUGUGUAUCCAUCCCUGAACCAAUCAGUUGACCAAGAGAAUUGUGUACUUGGAACAGCCAGCCUACAACAACUUUUUAAAGUGAAUAUCAUAAUCCCCUCUUUACAGAUGAGCAACCUGAUACAGAAAUGGGUUAAUUUGCUUGUCCAAAGUUGUGGAGGACAGUAUUAUUGUUCACCAAAAUUUCAUUCCCCUUUCUUUCUGGGGAUAUGGGUGGAUGGUACUUUCCAGCCCUCUUGAAGUUAGAUAAGGUCGCGUGACUUUCGAUGGCCAAUGAAAUGUGAAUGGACAUGAUAUAGGUCACUUCUCAGUGGAAGCAUUUAAUUACUGACAUUUGGCCUCCAGUUUGCUCCCCUCUCCACAGUGACUAGGGAAGGCUGUGCCAAUAUGGAGGCACACCACAGGGUCUUCACAAGGAGGGCAGCUGCACAGAGUCACUUAGGCAUGUAACAAAGCUUUGUGUGAGUGAGUACACCUUUGUUGCUUUAAGGCACUGAGAUUUGGGGGUUGUCUGUUCCUGAAGCAUAACUUAACCUAUCCUGAUACUGCGAACAUCACUCAACUACUAAGUAGCAGAGCUAGAAUUUGAACCAAAAUGUGUCAGACCCCAAAGCUUGUGUUUAUAACCAUUAUAUUGGUGUAUUGCUGCCAUUCUUUGGGAGGUAUGAUUAGCAAAGUUUACAGUUCUCCUGUCCUUAUAACCUCUGUGGGUAUUUUCUUUAAAGUUUAUUUAUUUAUUUUGAGAGAGAGACACACAGAGAGAGAGAGAAUCCCAGAUAGGCUCUGCACUGUCAGUGCGGAGCCCAACGUGGGGCUUGAACUCACAAACCAUGGCAUCAUGACCUGAGCUGAAAUCAAGAGUCAGAUGCUCAACCAACUGAGCCACCCAGGGACCCCACCCUCUGUGAGUUUUAAUCUCCAAGGGACACAGCUUUCUCCCUCAGCUUUCAUAUACUUCCUGUGUAGCCAUGUUUCCCCUCAUUGCCAUCAAAUGAAGUUAAGCAAAAAAGAAGGGACUUGCCCCCAGGAGCAGCCAGCAAACCUCACUGAGUGUGAGCUGCGUUUCUCUCCUGUUCUCCUCCAACCAGUCUCUGCCUCUCACCAUGAUCCCCUCUCAGGAGCCAGAUUCCUGCUGGAAACCCUUGGAGAAAAGAUCCAGUUGGGACCCGAGGUCUUUCACCAGUGUGCUAUGGAAGGAAGGAGCUGGGAACCACACAGCUUGUUGUAAUGUUGUCAGCUGGAGAAGAGUGGAAGGUAGGACAGCCAUUGGACUAACAGACAACCCAAGAGUCUCUGAGAUGCUACUUUUUAGUUUGUAGAGCAGCUUCAGAUUUACAUUAAAAUUGAGGAUAUAGUACAAAGAGUUUCCAUACAUCCCUUAUUGCCUCUAUAUAGUCCCAUUAUCAUUAGCAAUGUGCAUUAGUAUGGCACAUUAGUUACAAUUAAUAAACCAAAAGUGAUAGAUCAUGACUAACUAAAGUCCAUGCUUUAUGCAGCAUCUCUUUGUUUUUACCUAAAUUCUUUCUCUGUCCCAGGAAUCCAUCCAGGAUGUACCACAUUACAUUUGGUCACUGUGUCUCUGAAGGGACAUGACAGUUUCUCCAACUUUCCUUGCUUCCCCUGCUCAGUUGGUCAGGUAUAUUACUGGAUGUCCCUCUAGGGAAUUUGUUGAAUACAAUUUUCUCUCAAGAUUAGAUGGGGGGUUAAGUUUUUUGAGCAGGGGUAUGUUGAAAGCUUUCUCCAGGAGAUUCUAAUUUGCAGCCAGAGUUACCCAGAUGAUUAGCUCACAAGGGGCAGGCUCCUACUUCCCCCAGGGCUGAACACAGAGAGAGACCAGUAAAACUUGCUGAUUGUCUGUGACAAGGCUCAGCUCUUCUCCUCAUCCUGGAAUCUCUGAGACAAUCAACCUUGAGACUGCUUAGUUGAAGAGACUGAGUCUGUUCAUUUACCAUCCAGCAUGGGGAUAGCUUUGUCAUUCCAGAGGGGGAUGAGCAGACCCCAGGGAAGAGGUACACCCCCACAACACCAGGGUGAACAGUCAGAGGACAGAACAAGGGUCUGGGAGAUAGUAAGCUCUUGUAACUACAGAGAAAAAGUACAUGGCCAUCUUGUCUGAUCUUCAACUACCCUCUAAAGCACCAUGUUCAUUUACCACUCAAUGGCCAUCCUCAGCUCCCUUCUCUCUUGCCCUCUUCUGAUCAUAGAGGCUGAAAAAGUUAUACUUUCCCAGCCUCCUUGGUGACUCAAAAUAUCCUUAUAACUCAGUUUUAUAUACAAGAAAAGUUUGCCAGGAGUUAUGGGGACUGUGGGGGUUUUGGGGAGCAGGGAAAGCUUCUGAGAAAGAUUUUUUUUCCAUCUCUGAUCAAAUAAGAAAAGCACACGAAGAGAGCUCCUUACACUUCGACCUUCACCCUACAUCCUGACUUUGGAGGGAAUCUUAAGAAGAUGUGCUAGCUGGUGCUAUGGCAGCCAUCUUGCAGUCAUAGAGGGGAAACAGAAAGAAUUUGGACACUGACCCAGAGCCCCAGCAUCUUGGAGUUGCAAAGCCAGUUUGAUAACUGUUCACCUCUAGACUUCUUAGUAAGCAAUACUUCUUAUGUUUUAAGUUCUUAUUAGUCAGAGUUUCUAUUUCUUGCAGAAAAACACAAAGGCUCUUAUAGGCCCUGUGAGGUUAAGGGCGCAAGCAUCAUCCUUAGAGUAUAGAUGAGACCCUGAGAGGUUAGAGAUUUGCUCGAGGCAUCCUGAUGUGGGAAGGUAUGCUUUCUGGGGGUAGCUGAACAUGGCUGUGGGUGAGACUGAGGGUGAUGACCUGGGGUGGGGGCAGGGCAUCUGGAACACCAGGAGAGAAGCAGGAAGCUUGAGGGAGGGGGUAGGCAGAGGAGGCACAGGGCAGGUUGGGGGUGCUUUGGCCAGAAAGCAUGCAUGCAGACUCACAGGUGAAACAACAAAAGGGCAGCUUGCCUUCCAGCAGGGCCUUCCUUGUGGUGUCUCCAGACAGCCUGCAGGAAGGAAGGAAAGGCAGUGGCUGGGAUUCAACGUAGACUAAAAGAAUCUAAAUUUAGAUCAGACAUGCAGGGGGAUGCUAAGAAAUCCACUCGAGAUUCUCUCUCACUCUGCAACAUGGCCCUACAGAGGCACCUCCAGUGACAGCUUCUUAUUGAUCCCCCAACAAUCCUUGGUGGUAGGCAGGGGUGAGAACACUUCAUUUACAGGUGAGGCAACCAGGGCGCAAAGUCAUUUGUGGAGUAAAGUCUAGAACCCUAGUCUCAGAGGCCCUGGUCUCAGCUGUCUCUCUGGGAGGGGAAAGAACUGUAGCAUUUGCUGGUUUCCAGGUGUGAAUGCUUCCAUUGUGGCUGAUUUUGCCACAGCCCCCCGCCCCUGCUCCCCAUCAACCUACUUGGUUUAGGCCCUCAGGCCCCUCUUUCUGGUGGCAGACUGGUCCCUGUCCUGUCCUGACCCCAGCUCUUGACCCCCAACUUGAUGCCACCCAUGUGUGCAUCCCUGACCUCACCUCUCGUUUUCCGCCUCUACUUUCUUCUAAUCCUGACCCCAAAUUCCUGCCCCUGGCCCCCUUCGGUAACUUGCUGGGUGACUUGCUGUGGGACCCAUUCCCUCUUGCCUCAGCCAUGGCUCCUCCUGUCAUUGCUGGACUGCCUGGAUUGGCCCUGUGGCCUCAUACAGGGGUUAAUGAUCGACCCCAUGAGUUGGAAGUGGGCGUCUGGAUGGUAGCAGAUGAAAAGACCCUGGAAGCUCACUCAAUUUCUUACACUUUCCAGAUGUCAUGCUUUUCCCUCACAGAGCUCAGAGACUCCCUCAAAGCCUGGAUUCCCUCCUGUCCUCCUAAAUGCAACCUGUUCCCCUACCUGCAUUCAUUUUCUCUCCUUCACGGAGCAAAACCACACGUCCCAAGGUCACCCACGACUCCUCCAGCUCUGUCCUUUGAACCAUCCCCCUGGAUCCUGAAGAUCUGGCCAUCUGGUGUCUGCUGAUCUGUGCCUAAAACCUACUCCUCCAUGCCCUCUCCCUCUGCCUUUUAUUAAUAUCUUAUCACCAUUCCACGAUGCGACCCUCACCACCACUACCCAGUCUAGGCCAAGGCCCACCACCUCGCCUCUCACCCCUGAAGUCUCACUGCACUUCCAGCUGAGCUCCUCAGCAUGCUCGAGAAUCACUUCCUCUAGGAAGCCUUCCCUGAUCUUCUCUCCCCUUCUCUCAGAGCUGGCUGUCUAUUGUUCUGCAUCCCUACCAAACUUGGAUUAUAACUCUCUUCUCACUGUGAUACAGUCCUUUAUUUGCUGGUCACUUCCAUUAGGCAGUGGUUUUGGGGGGAGAAGGAACUGUGUCAAUCUGCCUUGGAGCCUCACACAGUGCCUGGCGUGUAGCAGGUACCCAUAAAAUGGGUUGUUUUGAUGACUUCUGUGACCAUUUCUCUUGUAGCGUUUUAAAAGCACUUCUGUUGGGGUAUCUCUCAGCUCCUCUACUAGACUGGAAAUUUGUUAAGGCCAGAAACCUGUUGUGUUCCUUGGGGUCCCUCCCAACAUGGAACUUUAGGCAGGUCUUGUGGCUGGGGCACAAUGGAUACUCAGAGGAGGAUAGCGGGCAGAAUGAGAAAGGUUUUUUACAUGUUUGCAAGUCCUAUCUGAUUACAAAGACCUUUGAAGGGUCAGGGGGUUGCGACUUAUCUGUGGAGGCUGGCUGGCAGGAAAACCCCUGUGAACGAAGGCAGAGAGCUGGAUGCUGGGCAGGUCAGUUUCCAAAUGGCCCAUCCCUGUCCUGGAAAGGCCAGAGGAGUGUCUAAAUCCAUUUGGGGGACUAGAGAUGGUUCAUGAGGGCGGGACAAGCCCUCUACUCCACCCCUUUACCCACUGCCAGCCUCCUGAGCAGAGAAUAUGGACUCUGGCUCCCAGCUGGAACCCCACAAGCAGAAAUGUUCUUUUGGUUUUCCUGUUGGAAUCCUUGGAGUGGGAAUGUUCUCGUGGUUUUCCUGUUGGAAUCCUUAGAGCAGGAAUGUUCUCAUGGGUUUCCUGUUGGAAUUCCAUGAAAAGCGCUUUCAUUCUUCCAGCCUCGUGCCCUUCAAGUUUCGGGGGCAUGGGGUCCUGGGGGAUUCCCAAGCCUGGCCCUUCGAAGGCUUUGCCCACGGGCUCUGGGCAUCUAAUUAGCAUGGAAACCUUCUUCAUCAGCAUACAAUGCUGCUGCUGAGCUUUUUGAGCUAAACUAUGGCCAUUUUUGUUCUGCUAAUGAACAGGGUCCAGUGCUAGGUGGCCAGCCCUGACGUCAGGUGAUAAGCUAUGAUGGAACUGUACUUGAAGCCACACUGCCUGGGUCUAGAUCCUGGCCACUCAGCAGCUGGCCAGAGAAUUAUUCCAAACUCCCUGAGCCUCAGUUUCCUCAUCUGGAUGGUAACUGAAUCUAUGUCAUGGAGUUACUGUCGGGGGAAUAAAUGAGAUAACUCUCCCUCUUUCCUUUCACAGAGCCUGGGACAGGGUCACAUUUGCUAUACCCUUGGCGUGGCCCAGCCACCCCCUACCUUUGCAGGGCAGAAUCUCUCCUUUUCCUCUGUCCCACCUCAUCCAUCUCACAGGUCUGUGUUCCCAGGACCUCUUCUUGCUCCCAGUAGCUCUGGCCAGGUGUCAGGGGUCACACACAGGUCCCUGUGGGCUCCACCCAUUUGUAGCCAUCUCCCCUGGAAUCCUUGGCAGGCUGAGGAGCCUCCUUUGCACCAUGGUUGUGUGAGGAGAGACCCGGGCUGAGGUCAGAGCAAACUGUCCAGUUGGUGUGCUCGACUUUACUGAGGCUCAGCUCCUGGGACAAUGGCUCUGCCAUUUCCCCACUGGGCACACCCCCACCCAUCUCCUGCCUUUCCUCUGCUUCUUCUUCCUUCUCCUCAUCCCAUCCUCUUUCUGUCCCAAGACAUUUGCACAUUCAAUUACUCUCUGAAUCCCUACAAACCCCAGUUAGGCAGGUGGAACAUGGACCCCAUUUCUCAUUUAGGGAAGAAACUGAAGCUCAGACAGAAUGAUAAUAUUAGUAGCUCACAUUUCUUAUGUUAAUUAAUCAUUUUUUGGAAUAGAUAGUUCACUCACAUGGUUGAUAAAUCAAAAUUGUAAGGAAUGUGUACAGUCAAAAGCCCUGCCCCACCCUAUCCCCUCUCACCUUCCCCCUACAAGGUAACCCCUUUUACCAGUUUCUUAGGUAUCCUUCCAGAAUAUCCUUAUGUCAAUCCAAGCAAACAGGGCACCUAGUCUGACUUCUCCACUCCCUGCCCAGAUGGUAGCAUGCGACACAUGUUGUUACACGCAACAUGGAUCUUGGCAAUUUCUUCCCCUUGGUCCCGGGAUGCUGGCCCCAUUGCUCAGCACUCGCACUGAGCAUUUGCUGUAGCCAGGCGUGUGCUAAAGGAUCAGCAUGGAUUACUUAAUUUAAUCCUCACACCAAACUAAAAGCCUCGUGCACUUUUAUCAUCCCCUGUUACAGAUGAGAAAAUGAGGGUGUGGAGAGUUAACCUAGUCCAUCUGGUUCUGGAAACAGCCCUCUCAUUCACUGUGCUCACUCGAGCUUCUAGAAGGGCUUCUAGAAGCUUCUUGAUUUUAUCCACCACCCCCCACCCUCCCCACCCCUGGUGAGUAGUUUGAAUGCAAA